rnacentral:rRNA from 1 species
AUUGAACGCUGGCGGCAGGCCUAACACAUGCAAGUCGAGCGGGGUUUUCGGACCUAGCGGCGGACGGGUGAGUAAUGCGUAGGAAGCUACCCGAUAGAGGGGGAUACCAGUUGGAAACGACUGUUAAUACCGCAUAAUGUCUACGGACCAAAGUGUGGGACCUUCGGGCCACAUGCUAUCGGAUGCGCCUACGUGGGAUUAGCUAGUUGGUGAGGUAAUGGCUCACCAAGGCGACGAUCCCUAGCUGGUUUGAGAGGAUGAUCAGCCACACUGGAACUGAGACACGGUCCUGACUCCUACGGGAGGCAGCAGUGGGGAAUAUUGGACAAUGGGCGCAAGCCUGAUCCAGCCAUGCCGCGUGUGUGAAGAAGGCCUUCGGGUUGUAAAGCACUUUCAGUUGGGAGGAAGGGUUGUGUGUUAAUAGUACACAGCCUUGACGUUACCAACAGAAGAAGCACCGGCUAACUCUGUGCCAGCCGCCGCGGUAAGAC